rnacentral:piRNA from 1 species
UAGUCAGUGAAAGGAUGGAAACACAAAGUG